CUCUGUGUGACUAUUGGUUCAUUUCCUUUUGAUUUUGACUGUUGACUUGUUUACUAAUGAGUUUGACUUUUGCAGGUGCUUUAGUUGCUUAAGUUCUUUGAACUUGCUUGCUUGCUUUGCUUUUUAGCAUUUGCUUUGAGGUAUAAUUACUUCUUCUUCAUGUAGUCUGGAGACCCGGUCUGUUAUUUGACCGGGCAAACUGUCUGAAGUCCUCCUUAAGAGGCAAUGCC
rnacentral:lncRNA from 1 species